rnacentral:lncRNA from 1 species
UCUCCUCUCUCUCUCUUUCGCUUGUUUCAAAAAUAUGCAUCUCCUCUCUCUCUCUCUCUCUCUCUCAUUUGUUUCUUAUAUACUCAACCCCUUGUUCCCCUUUGCCUCCCUACAACUCACUCCCAUCUCCACAAACUCUCAAAACCCAUCUCAAAAAUCCAUUCUCAACCAAAACCCAAAACCCAAAAUAUUACUCUUUUGUUCAUGGAAACCACGUUCUUGUUACUUUAUUUAGAUUUAGAUGACCCUCCGAGGGUAAAACCAACUCUUAAUCCGCGGGUAUGGGCGGCAGCGACUUCGGACGACGUUUGGACGGCAUCGGCGAGUACGGCGGCAGCACCUCGAGUUGCUGGCGACGUCGAUAGUGGAUGCGGAGGCAACACCUUUGGGCGGCGUCGGCGGGUUCGGCGGCAGCGGACAGAAAAGGAGAUCUAGCACAGUUCCCUUUCUUUUUUAUUUCUAUAUAUAUACAUUUAUUUAUUUAUUUAUUUAUUUAUUUAUUUUUAACUUUCCUUCUUCUAUCUUCUCUUGCUCUUUUUUCUCUCUUUUUUUUUGCUUUUAUUUGUUUUGCAACAGAAAAUGUGGAUUACCGCACAGUCGCCUCCCGCCGAUUCUCCAUGUGAUUCCAUGUGUGCGAUGCCCAUAUCCCCCUCCCCGAUUCGAACUCUUUUCUCGAGCUAUUUAUAAAGCCCAAGCUUUCGAAAUCAAGAUAUUUUCAGAUCUUAAAAAGAUCUGGGCAGAGGAGAAGAGAGAGAUAGAGAGAAGGGGAAGGUUUUUAAUGUUAUUUACUUGUCUUGGGAGGGGAAGGUUUUAAUAUUAUUAAUAUUUACUUGUCUUGGGAAACCUUGGGACCAAGAGAUUUUUUUUGGGUAGGAGAGAGCUGUCUUGAAAAAUUUUAAAAAUAUUUGGAAAAAAGAGAGAGGAUUUUUUUGAAAAGGAACUGGUUUACUCUUGGGAAGGAGCUAUGAAGCCAAGAGAUUGUCACGUAUGCAUCAUAUUAUUUUUUUAUUUGUGGAAAAAUGAACCAUAUCUGAAAAUUGUUUGAAAAAAAAAAAAAUCUGAGAACAAUUUUUUUAUUCGUAAAAAAGGAAAUGCCGCCACGUAUGAAUUUAGAACCAUCAAUUAGUAUAUUUGUAUGGAUUCUUUUCUUAGUUUGAAAUUUAUUUCUUAUUUUUUUAUUCUUUUUUAGAAAUAAAAUUAAUUAGAAAUAUAAAUCAACUAGGAUGCGAACUUGAGACCCUCGGAUACCAAUCACUAAAUCCUUUGCCACUUGCCCUAGGACAAUCGGUAUUCA